rnacentral:rRNA from 1 species
UACGUAGGUGGCAAGCGUUGUCCGGAAUUAUUGGGCGUAAAGCGCGCGCAGGCGGUCUCUUAAGUCUGAUGUGAAAGCCCACGGCUCAACCGUGGAGGGUCAUUGGAAACUGGGGGACUUGAGUACUGGAGAGGAGAGUGGAAUUCCAUGUGUAGCGGUGAAAUGCGUAGAUAUAUGGAGGAACACCAGUGGCGAAGGCGGCUCUCUGGCCAGUAACUGACGCUGAGGCGCGAAAGCGUGGGGAGCAAACAGGAUUAGAUACCCUGGUAGUCCACGCCGUAAACGAUGAGUGCUAGGUGUUGGGGGGUUCUACCCUCAGUGCUGACGUUAACACAUUAAGCACUCCGCCUGGGGAGUACGACCGCAAGGUUGAA